CCUACGGGAGGCAGCAGUGGGGAAUAUUGCACAAUGGGGGAAACCCUGAUGCAGCGACGCCGCGUGAGUGAAGAAGUAUUUCGGUAUGUAAAGCUCUAUCAGCAGGGAAGAAAAUGACGGUACCUGAUUAAGAAGCCACGGCUAACUACGUGCCAGCAGCCGCGGUAAUACGGAGGGGGCAAGCGGUAUCCGGAUUUACUGGGUGUAAAGGGAGCGUAGACGGGAGUACAAGUCUGGAGUGAAAUGCCGGGGGUUAACCCCGGAACUGCUUUGGAAACUGUGGAUCUAGAGUGCAGGAGAGGUAAGUGGAAUGCCUGGUGUAGCGGUGAAAUGCGUAGAUAUUAGGAGGAACACCAGUGGCGAAGGCGGCUUACUGGACUGUAACUGACGUUGAGGCACGAAAGCGUGGGUAGCGAACAGGAUUAGAUACCCCUGUAGUC
rnacentral:rRNA from 1 species